UGAUAUAUACUCCGCUUUAAAGGAUCACCUUAGGGCAGUUGGUGCAAAAAAUGUAAGACGUUGCAUAGUCACGUAAAACUCUAAAUAAAACGGUACAAUAAAAUCCAAGGUCGACAACAUGAUUAAACGCACAGUUACACAUUUGCUGUGAAAGAAUAUAGACUUUUAAUGGAGUUCAUUCAUAUCGGAAGCAUCUGUGUCGCGUAAAAAGCAAAGGAAACCACUACGUACCAAGUUCAGAAUCGGAUAACUUUCAGUAAUCAAAUUGUAUGUCACACGAAACUAUUGCGAAUCGGCUGAUCUUUACUUUGAUUAUACCAUCAGCUGACACGAUAUCUCUAAUUACUUGCAAUCCGUCCGCUGGCAAUCGCAGCCACCCACACGACGCCGUUCAUUCAUCCACGAUCAUUUCCUCUGCUUUAAUGAGACGUACCACCUACGACCGGUUCCAUAUAAAUUACGAUUCUUUCUCGUUCGAACGUAUUGGUAUUUCCUCUGUCUCUCUGUUUUAUUCUCAUCCAUGUCGUUAGCGAUCGUCCACGAUUGGAAGGGGAAAGGCCGCCACGUUCGCGAAUACCUGCGGAUGAAACCGGUCUCUCGAAAUCGUCUAAGUCGAGAGCCACAAAAGAACCACGCCGGCCGCGAGAGAAAUUCCAUUUCCAGCGGAGAUAACGCGAUCCCCUCGCUCUUAGCGGUGAUACGUUAAUCGCUUAACGAUUUAUCGACGCCCCAUCGCUUAAUAUAAAUGAGCCAAGAAGGAAUUGGAACAAGAUUGGAAGAGGAUUGGAACAAGAGAAAAUAGAAAAUUCUUUGAACUACUGGAAAAAUGAAAGUGUAAAAUUUAAAAAUUGGCAGAGAGAGAGUAUUAAUCUCUUAAGGAAUGAUUCAUCUAAAUAUUUGAGUAUACAUUAAAUGUUGAUAAACAUUAAAUAUUGCAUUAAUACAAAGUUAGCUCAUAAUAGCUGAAGAGAUUAAAAAACCUUAUGUUUCUUUAAAGAAUAAAAAAAUACCCAAUAUUGCAAAAAUAAAUUUAAAAGAUAUCUAGUUUCUACAAAAAAAGAUAAAAGAUAUGCAAAAUUCGUAAGAAACGUGAUUGAAAAAAACGUGUCAAGAAAGAAAUAAAGAUAAAAGAAAAAGUUACAAACUCAUUCUGUUUCGUGGAAAAUGUAAGGCACCAAACAUGACAUGAAAAGCUUCUGAAACUAAAUUGUUUGAAAGAUCUCAUCGAUGACGUCAAACACAAAUAUAAUUCCAUUUCGAUCAAUCAUUACCAUUGCUUCAACGCACGCGAUACUUUUCAUAGAAAGAAGAUGCGAAGAAUUUAACUCUGAAGGUCGAACAUUCUUCUUCCUUGAAAACUACGCAUUUCUUGUCUCACGACUCGUAUGAUUUUAAUAACUGUUCAUCAUUACCUUCGAAGCGUCCUGUUCAUUUGAGUCUUUUUACUCUUGAUCAGAAGUUUCGUGUUUGAUCUCCGAUAAACGUCACUCGCGUCAUGAAUCACUAGUAAACACAGUUCCCUGUUCUAUCCAAUUACACCCAUAGAUCGAAAAAUAGCAGAAGUGCACGUGCAUAAAAUGCACGUUUCAAUUUUUAAUUCACGCGAAUCAAUGCGUAGACACGGCACGGUCUAGACGUGACAUCAACAUCACAAUAAGGCGCGAUGAGUUGGCGUUCAGGAAUCCGGGAGAGAUAAAACAGGACUUUCUAGGAGGACGAGGGAGAAACGAAAGCAUCCCCCAGCCCUUCGUGUUUUACCUACUAGUAUCUUGGAAUGUCGAUGGUUCAUAUGCAGCUAGUUAAAAACGUACAACGGGAAAGGGAAGAAAACAUAUCAGGACAUGAAAAGAGAAGAACAAUGCGACUAAUAUUUUAAAAAAGUCAUGUUGAACGAAGGAUAAUGCGUCAGUUAAAUGCAAAUAGGAAAGACGUUAUUUGUGUCUGGCAGAGUAAAUCAAUUAUUAAACCACAACAAAAACAUAAAAAAUGAAUUAUUAAAUGAAGACAUCAAAAAAAGAAACCCGUCAUUAACAUAAUAAUAUUUUGUUUACUAAAAAGAAGAAAGGAAAUUAGAAGGUAGAGAAGAAUGGAAUUGGAUCGAAAUGCAGACGAAUCAAACCGCACCCAUGGAACGAACAAUAAGCAACGAGAUGGAGAAGGGACACAUUCCUUUCGUACGCGUGGAAACGCAUCGUGAAUGCUCAUCGGAUGAACUCCGAUUCGUUUUGCCUGUAGAAAAUACUGGCACGAUGCGUUCGUUCAAGUAUAGUCACCAAUUUGUGCUGCUAAUGAACUCAGCGAAAAAAGCGAUCGUUUCUUUUCACGAUUUCUCCUGACAAUCAUGUGCGUCUGUGGUGGAGAACUGUGAACAAUAUGUACAUCAGUUGUAAUUGUUGCUGUU